rnacentral:lncRNA from 1 species
CUUUUUUGUUACAUAAAUUCACCCAUUUGUUAUCUAUAGCGAUGUUUCAAAUGGUGGAACUUCUCUUUCGGUUCCUUUGGUCCUCUGAUGGCUGACUUUGCUGAGACGGCAGAAGUGGCGUGGUAGGUCCAGGCCCCUCCAGCUGCUGUUUCACGCAGAAUCGCAGUGCCAGAGCCCCACAGCUCAUCUCUCCGUUUUGGUUUUGCCACAGAAGGAGCAAGUGUACUUGGUGUGCAGGCCAAGCUCAAUUUUCUUCACCAUUUUCCUGAGAGAGGCACCGUAACCAGUCCUGUAUUUGUCAACGAUUCGGAUCUUCUCGAUCCGUUCAGCCAUCUCUCUGCAAGCUGCCUCUCAGCCCAGAGAGGAAGCCACUCCCUUUAUUCUAAAGUCAACCAAUCAUCGUACAAAGUGACUGCAUCCCAGGAGAUUUGGCAAUUGAGGUCUUAAACUGGUUAGACUCAACCUGGCUUCUCUUUAUCACCAUCCAUUGGGUAAGGGCCUCAUGAGGACGAUGAUAGACGUUUUCUUUGCACAUCUGAGUGAGACAGACUCUUAAGAUGGGUCCCAAUUAUCUCUGUUUCCUCGUAUUCAUUCCCGUAUGGAAUCUCCUCUUCUCUGAGUGUGGGAGAGACCUGUGACUUGCUUCUAAACAAGAGAAUAUGGCAAAGGUGAUGUCACUUCUGUGAUCAUGUUACAUAGAUUGUAACUUCCGUCUUGCUAGCAGACUCUCUGAUGAUUCUCUCCCUUUGCUGGCUUUGAUGAAAUAACCCACCAUACGGAGAGGCCCACGUGGCAAGGAACUGAAGCAGGCCUCCAGCUGACAGCAGCAAGGAAGAAAGGUCCUUAGUCAGAUAACCCACAAUGAACCGAAUCCUGCCAACAACCAUAUGAACUUGGAAGUGGAUCCUUCCCCAUUCGAGCCUCAGAUGAGACCCCAGCCCUGGUCAACAUCUUGACUGCAGUCUUGUGAGAGCUCCUGAUAAAGAGGACUCACUAAGCCAUGCCCAGACUCCUGACCCAUGAAAUGGGGAGAUAAUAAAUGUGUGCUGUUUCAAGUUG